AUUGAACGCUGGCGGCAUGCCUUACACAUGCAAGUCGAACGGCAGCACGGGGCAACCUGGUGGCGAGUGGCGAACGGGUGAGUAAUGCAUCGGAACGUACCUUUCAGUGGGGGAUAACGUAGCGAAAGUUACGCUAAUACCGCAUAUUCUGUGAGCAGGAAGGCAGGGGAUCGCAAGACCUUGCGCUGAUUGAGCGGCCGAUGUCAGAUUAGCUAGUUGGUGAGGUAAAGGCUCACCAAGGCGACGAUCUGUAGCGGGUCUGAGAGGAUGAUCCGCCACACGGGAACUGAGACACGGUCCAGACUCCUACGGGAGGCAGCAGUGGGGAAGGUUGGACAAUGGGGGCAACCCUGAUCCAGCCAUGCCGCGUGAGUGAAGAAGGCCUUCGGGUUGUAAAGCUCUUUCGGCCGGGAAGAAAUCGCACGGGCUAAUACCCUGUGUGGAUGACGGUACCGGAAUAAGAAGCACCGGCUAACUACGUGCCAGCCGCCGCAGUAA
rnacentral:rRNA from 1 species